rnacentral:misc_RNA from 1 species
GUCCAACAGCGCGAUUCUUUCACUUCUUUGCGAAGUUUCUUUUCCCCUAGAUUUUGUGCUCUCUUCUUCCUCCUCAUUUUUGCUGCGAAUAGUUUCUAGGAUUUCGCACAGCUUACUAAAAGGAAUGGAUUGGGGUAACGUUACAGCAGAGGAUCUGAUCGAUGCCCUUCGUGAGGUUGACUGGUCGUCGCCUCCUCGCCCCCUCUCUGAGUUCUUUUCCAGAUUCACCGUUCCCAAAUCUUCUGCCAAAUGGAACAGUCGCCUUAAGUGUAAUCUCUACUACUACCGGACUAACUACUUCCUUAUGAUCGUUCUAAUUCUGGGACUGGGCUUUCUUAGGCGACCGCUUGCUAUAGCAGCAGCUCUUUUAACUGCUGUUAGCAUAGCAUUUCUGAAUGAUAGCUUUGCUGGUACUUUUAGUGAGAAGGUAACAAGAACUGUGAGGCAAUUCUCUCCUCAUCUAGCAGCUAAAAUGAGACCUCCUUUUACACCUGUUAUUCGUGGACGUCCAUCAGCUAAAAGAGCAAUUUAUAUAUGUGGUCGGCCCCGUUGGAUGUUUGUCCUGAUGUUCUCUUCUGGUAGUGACAUACCUUCACUGUUUUUCUAAAGUAAUGUAAAUUAGAUCAUUUUGUUUGUGAGCUAAAUUGGUAUUUAUUUUUAACAGAUAAUUUUUUUUAUUCUUUUUUCUUUCAUUCUGUAGUUUCUUUCAUCCUUUGGUACGUCUCCUGUGGUCUCUUGACCGUCCUAUGGGCGGUUGCCAUUGGUCUUCUUGCCACUAUCCUACAUGCAAGUUUUAGAACACCUAAUCUGAAAGCUCGUCUGAACACAUUCCGUGAGGAAUUUCGUGCUGUUUGGCGGAAUUACAGCGAGCUGUAGCUUUGAUGGAUCUUAAUUUUCUGCAUUUUGUUCUCUUGUGCAGGGGCUGUUCUUGAUGGGUGUGAUAUUCGUCUAGGCGCCUUGUUCUCAAAUUGGGCUUAGCUGCUGCUUCUGUUGCCAUAAAAUAACUUCCAGUGACUGGAUAAUCUUCAUAGAAAUCCAACAUCAAGUUAAUUGUCAGGACCUCUUCUUUCUGUAAGGCAUACUGUUUCCAAUUAUAGUCCAUAUUUGAAGAAACCUGGUAUUUUAGUGGGAGAACCAUUCAUAUAAUUCUCGGGCGAGCUAUUAAUAGGCCUUCUUCGUGUCAGGAAUUCCAUAUUUGCUGUAGAAGUAGCACCAAGUAGUUCCUCUUGAGUUAAGUGAUAGAAAAAGAGUUAUUUUGAAAUUUUAUAGACUAUCCAAUAUUCAUUCAUGCGAAGCAUUAUAGCAAGUUAAUCUGCUUGUAUCAUAUGUCAUUAUGAGAAUAGGUUUCUUCUUAUUCUUUUCUUAAUUAGUGCAUCAAUAGUUGCAUGUAUGAAACCUACACAGAACAAGCCAUGAGAAAAGGUGCAUGGCAAUUUGUGGUCCCUGUUUUUGUGGAUUAUUUUGAGCUUCUUUGCUGGACUCAUCUUUUUAAAUUUUAUGACUUUCGUGUAUGGGGCUGUUGGUGUCGUAGGAUUUUGUAAGUCAGAGGGUGUUUUUUUCUAGCUGCUAUAAUUUGGGUCAAAGAUAGGGGAUUAAGGUUAUAUUCGGUAAUAACUUUUAAGAUAGCAUUUAGUAUUUUGAUUCUAAUAAAAACACUAUAUCUCUUAUUUAUAUUUAUAUUGUUU